rnacentral:rRNA from 1 species
UACGUAGGUGGCAAGCGUUGUCCGGAUUUACUGGGCGUAAAGAGCGCGCAGGCGGUCGUUCAAGUCGCGUGUGAAAGCCCCCGGCUCAACUGGGGAGGGUCACGCGAUACUGAUCGACUCGAAGGCAGGAGAGGGUAGUGGAAUUCCCGGUGUAGUGGUGAAAUGCGUAGAUAUCAGGAGGAACACCUAUUGCGAAGGCAGCUCGCUGGGACGUAACUGACGCUGAGACGCGAAAGCGUGGGGAGCAAACAGG